rnacentral:rRNA from 1 species
GACGGAGGAUGCAAGUGUUAUCCGGAAUCACUGGGCGUAAAGCGUCUGUAGGUGGUUUAAUAAGUCAACUGUUAAAUCUUGAGGCUCAACCUCAAAAUCGCAGUCGAAACUAUUAGGCUAGAGUAUAGUAGGGGUAAAGGGAAUUUCCAGUGGAGCGGUGAAAUGCGUAGAGAUUGGAAAGAACACCGAUGGCGAAGGCACUUUACUGGGCUAUUACUAACACUCAGGGACGAAAGCUAGGGGAGCGAAAGGG